UACGAAGGGGGCUAGCGUUGCUCGGAAUCACUGGGCGUAAAGCGCACGUAGGCGGCUUCUCAAGUCAGGGGUGAAAUCCUGGAGCUCAACUCCAGAACUGCCUUUGAUACUGAGGAGCUCGAGUCCGGGAGAGGUGAGUGGAACUGCGAGUGUAGAGGUGAAAUUCGUAGAUAUUCGCAAGAACACCAGUGGCGAAGGCGGCUCACUGGCCCGGUACUGACGCUGAGGUGCGAAAGCGUGGGGAGCAAACAGG
rnacentral:rRNA from 1 species